rnacentral:rRNA from 1 species
UGGGGAAUUUUGGACAAUGGGCGAAAGCCUGAUCCAGCAAUGCCGCGUGUGUGAAGAAGGCCUUCGGGUUGUAAAGCACUUUUGUCCGGAAAGAAAUCCUUGGCUCUAAUACAGUCGGGGGAUGACGGUACCGGAAGAAUAAGCACCGGCUAACUACGUGCCAGCAGCCGCGGUAAUACGUAGGGUGCAAGCGUUAAUCGGAAUUACUGGGCGUAAAGCGUGCGCAGGCGGUUUGCUAAGACCGACGUGAAAUCCCCGGGCUCAACCUGGGAACUGCAUUGGUGACUGGCAGGCUAGAGUAUGGCAGAGGGGGGUAGAAUUCCACGUGUAGCAGUGAAAUGCGUAGAGAUGUGGAGGAAUACCGAUGGCGAAGGCAGCCCCCUGGGCCAAUACUGACGCUCAUGCACGAAAGCGUGGGGAGCAAACAGGAUUAGAUACCCUGGUAGUCCACGCCCUAAACGAUGUCAACUAGUUGUUGGGGAUUCAUUUCCUUAGUAACGUAGCUAACGCGUGAAGUUGACCGCCUGGGGAGUAC